GACGAACGCUGGCGGCGUGCUUAACACAUGCAAGUCGAACGAGCGGCGGACGGGUGAGUAAUGUUUGGGAAACUGCCUGAUGGAGGGGGAUAACUACUGGAAACGGUAGCUAAUACCGCAUACAAUCAGAUGUGCCCAGAUGGGAUGAGCUUGUAGGUGGGGUAAUGGCUCACCUAGGCGACGAUCCCUAGCUGGUCCGAGAGGAUGACCAGCCACACUGGAACUGAGACACGGUCCAGACUCCUACGGGAGGCAGCAGUGGGGAAUAUUGUACAAUGGGCGCAAGCCUGAUGCAGCCAUGCCGCGUGUGUGAAGAAGGCCUGCGGGUUGUAAAGCACUUUCAGCGAGGAGGCGUUACUCGCAGAAGAAGCACCGGCUAACUCCGUGCCAGCCGCCGCGGUAAUAC
rnacentral:rRNA from 1 species